rnacentral:rRNA from 1 species
GACGAACGCUGGCGGCGUGCUUAACACAUGCAAGUCGAACGGUGAAGGGGUCUGCUUUUGUGGGCCCUGGAUGAGUGGCGAACGGGUGAGUAACACGUGAGUAACCUGCCCCCUUCUUCUGGAUAACCGCAUGAAAGUGUGGCUAAUACGGGAUAUUCUGGGUCUGUCGCAUGAUGGGUCUGGGAAAGAUUGCGCCUCUGGGUGUUUUUGGUGGGGAUGGGCUCGCGGCCUAUCAGCUUGUUGGUGGGGUGAUGGCCUACCAAGGCGGUGACGGGUAGCCGGACUGAGAGGGUGGACGGUCACACUGGGACUGUGACACGGCCCAGACUCCUACUGGAGGCAGCAGUGGGUAAUAUUGCACAAUGGGCGCAAGCCUGAUGCAGCGACGCCGCGUGAGGGAUGGAGGCCUUCGGGUUGUAAACCUCUUUCGCCAGUGAAGCAGGCCUGCUCCUUGUGGGUGGGUUGACGGUAGCUGGAUAAGAAGCGCCGGCUAACUACGUG